UACAGAGGGUGCAAACGUUGCUCGGAAUUAUUGGGCGUAAAGCGCACGUAGGCGGUUUGGUAAGUUGGAUGUGAGAACCCUGGGCUCAACCCUGGAAGUGCAUCCAAGACUGUCAAGCUGGAGUGUCGGAGGGGGUCGGAGAAUUCCCGGUGUAGAGGUGAAAUUCGUAGAUAUCGGGAGGAACAUCUGUGGCGAAGGCGCCGACCUGGACGACAACUGACGCUGAGGUGCGAAAGCAUGGGGAGCAAACAGGAUUAGAAACCCCAGUAGU
rnacentral:rRNA from 1 species